rnacentral:tRNA from 1 species
AAUGAAGUGGCCGAGAUACAGGCAAAAGAUUGUAAAUCUUUCAACGAAAUUUUCCUUCAUUA